AGAUAAUUGGGUGGAAAUGCUCUGGGAGCAUCUUCCACCUUCUCCAUCCAAGGGCCUGUGGAAAUGAGAACUUUGCACCACAUUAGCCAAGGUGAAGGAAGGAUAUUGAGAACAAGGCUUGCUGGGUGGUUUGCAUUUGGAGGCAUGGAAGGAGAUGGGACGCGAUUGGCACUGUGAUCUAAACCACUGACCCUCUGGGGAUUGCCGAUCGGAAGGUUGGCGGUUCGAAUCCGCAUGAUGGUUGUGAGCUCCCAUUGCUCUGUCCCAGUUCCUGCCAACCUAGCAGGUUGAAAGCACACCAGUGCAAGUAGAUAAAUAGGUACCACUGUGACGGGAAGGUAAACAGCAUUUCCGUGUGCUCUGGUUUCCGUCAUGGUGUCCCGUUGUGCCAGAAGGGGUUCAGUCAUGCUGGCCACAUGACCCGGAAAGCUGUCUGUGGACAAACGCUGGUUCCAUCAGCCUGAAAGCAAGAUGAGCUCUGCAGCUCCAUAGUCACCUUUGACUGGACUCAAUUGUCCAGGACUCCUUUACCUUACCUUUACCUUUACUUGCAUUCAGAAGUGGUAUCCUACCCUUCAAAUGUGCCUCCUCUGCCUCUUAGUUGAGAUCUCUAGAUGACUCUUGGAGUCCUUUACAACCCUACGAUUCUGUGACUCUAUGAUGUGACUGCCAUCUACAAUGUGAUGUAUUCUGUUUGAAUAGGACACACUCAAUGGGUUAAAACUCAAUGGGUGUAGGAGUUCCAGGAAAAAAACGUGGGACUCUACUGCACAGGCUGCAUAUACACCAUACCUUUAAAGUACAUGACUUCCCCCAAAGAAUUAUGGGAACUGUAGCUUGUUAAGGGUGCUGGGAAAUGUAGCUCUGUGUGUGUGUGUGUGUGUGUGUGUGUGUGUGAAACUAUAGUUUCCAGGAUUCUUUGGGCAAAGUCAUGUGCUUUAAGUAUAUGGUAUGUAUGCAGCCAGAGUCUGAUCCUAUGCUCACUGCAUUUUGAUGGACAUUGAUCCUAUUUAAAUGUUGUGCCUCCAUGGGAACAGCUGGUGGAAUGAGAAUUGUGGUCCAAAUCAAGACUUCCGGGUUGGCGCCUCUGGCAAUGGCGGAUUUCCUCCGAUCGGGAGGAAUCCGCUCCGUGGAAAACAGGGUCUGAACCGCCACGGCGAGGCGGAGACCCAUCAAAAACCACAAGCGGGAGAAGCCUGUGGAUGUGGGAUUCGGCCGGUACCUUCGCGCCCCCCCUACUCGCGGGGAAACCCAAUUUCGGGGUUCCGGAGUGACGUGGGGUGAGUGGCGCGGUGCCUUGAAUCGACUGCUUCUUUCAUGGAGUGAAGCCGCAUUGCUGUUGCUGGAGAGCGCUGACUUUUUCCUGUGGACAAUUGGAGCUUAAAUAACUGUCCGUGAGUAGAACGGAAAAUUGGAAUAAGAAAUUUCCUUUAAUUUGGCACUGAAGCGGAAAGGUAUAAACAGGAAGUCUGCCUUCCGCUUUUUGUAAAUAGAUUGAAGCAAAGACAUGGCAAGGUAGAGCUUAGAAAAUCGUUUGUAAAGGAUCAAUUCUCAUCAUUUAAAAUUACUAAACCCCCCUUGGAAACAGGAGAAGAGGGGGAAACUUUUUCUGGACUGAUUAAACUUGCAGAAGACAAGUAAAGAAAAGCAAUUCUCCACCGUCCUGAACCUGGGAGCGGGGUGUCAGGACAGACGUCUUCGGGAAGUUCAUUGACUAUAGACAAACGUUUUUGACAGAUAGUUAAGAUCCAAGGGCCUCGGAUAUAAGGUUACCAGGUUGAUGGACUAGAUGGAUGGGAUAGAAAGGACUGACAAAACCCGAGACCAGGAGAAAGAGACGUUGGAUGAAGAUUGGAAGAAAGUUUUAAACAAAUUAUUUAGGAAAAUCUUGUAAAAGUAAAGAGUAUUAGAAAAAUGUUGGAAUGAAAUUAUGUGGCUGUAAUGAGUAUGGGUUGCUCGUGCGUAAGUUGCCGCCUCUCCAGGCUUUGUUGCCUUGCUAAACCUUUCAGUCUGGGCAGCCCUUCACUUCGUGGCUGCCUCAGUCGCUAGCAGAAUCCGUCAGUGGGCGUUUCUUAAAUCUUUUCCAACAUAAAAGUUGUUUGACACCCAGUCUCCUCCUACUCUCUCUGCGCGGAAGUCUUCUGCGCAGGGUGGGCGUGGGUAGCGGGGGACCAGUGCUGUCCCGCUGGUGUCCGGUGAAGAGUCCUGGAGCCCUCUCGCCGAUUCCCCCAUCAGCCCCUCCUUAUCCCUGGUGUAGCGCUGAUUUGCUUCCCCAUCUGCGGAGCUGCCUCUCUCCCUGCUGGGCCCUUCUCCAGCAUCAUUUGAGAGCCUUCCCUCCGCCUCUAGCUCCGAUGUCAGUUCCCUGACAGUGGCUUUAGCAGAAAUGUUAAAAAGAAUUAUGUAAGAAUAUGUCAUGGUUAAGAGAAUUUGGUAUAAAUAAGAUUUAAGCUUUAAGUUUUAGGGCCUUUUAUGGUAAGAUAAGGUUAAAAUAGAUUAAGGUAAUUUAAGAUAAGGUUAAAUUAGAUUAAGGUAAUUUAAUGACAGAAUAUUAUGAAAGAUGGAAAGGAUUUGCUGAGAUAAUUAACAACUAGAAUACAAAAAAGGGAGGUGUGAGGAGGUCGAUGAAACAAGGUAAUGACAGUUAAUGAUUUGGGAAUAUUGGAUUUGUUUUUAAAUUUUUUGUCUAUUUUUGCUUUUUGAUUUUGAUGUACUAUGCGUUUUGUUUUUUUCUCUUUUCGACCUUGUUUUUUUUUUUUAAAUUGAUUCGUAUUGUUUAAAUGCUACUUGUUUUUUCCUUCUUUUUUUCUUUGUUUCUUUGUCAUCUUAAAAUUCUCAAUAAAUAUUAUUUUUUUAAAAAAAGAGAAUUGUGGUCCAAAUCAGUAUGGCAGCAUCCUUUGUUCUUGCUGCACACUAUGUGCACAGGAAUGAACAGGGUCUAUUUCUUUACUUGAUCAGGUUAUUUUGCUCUUUUGCUCUAGUUUGGAUAAUUGCAUAACUUGCAGCCCGGGAAGUUCAGAACAUUUGGUUCUGCUGCCAUAUAACCUGUCUGGCAGCUUUAGCUUCUGCAGAUGAGGAAAGGGUUAAAAAACCAAACCCCUCUUCACUGUUAUUAAAUACAUUAAUUUUAACAUCAGACAUUCUGGCACAUUCUUACUGCAGUGUUUAAGGAGACAGCUUUGUUUGCUCACACUUGUCUCUCUUAAAAUUCAUAUCUCAGCAGUAACAUCUAUUUUUCCCUCCUUCGACAGCUUGCGCUCGGUACCCGCAGGAGACAGAAGCCUCAUCAAUUUGCUGCCUCCAGUUAUAAUGUGAAGGCCAAAUUUAUUCCAAAGAAGUUGUGGCAACAGAGACAACCAUCCUCAAGGAGCUUCUCCUGUGGAAGCCUGGCUCAAACACACUGGAGCAGCUUGCAUUGUAACAAGGGGCGUCAAUGGAAGCUGCCUUCUACCAGGUCAGACUAUUUGUCAAGCUGGCAUUGGCUGCUCUCUGGGGUCUCGUGCAGAAGUUUCCCAUUGUCCACAACUG